GACGAACGCUGGCGGCGUGCCUAAUACAUGAAAGUAGGACGCAGUUGCGAACGGGUGAGUAACGCGUAGGUAACUGACUAUUAGAGGGGGAUAACUAUUGGAAACGAUAGCUAAUACCGCAUACUAGUAGAUGGACCUACGUUGUAUUAGCUAGGAGGUAGGGUAAUGGCCUACCUAGGCAACGAUACAUAGCCGACCGGAGAGGGUGAGCGGCCACCCUGGAGCUGAGGCACGGCCCAGACUCCUACGGGAGGCAUCAGUAGGGAAUCUUCGGCAAUGGGGGGAACCCUGACCGAGCAACGCCGCGUGAGUGAAUAAGGUUUUCGGAUCGUAAAGCUCUGUUGUUAAGGAAGCGGUACUUAACCAGAAAGGGACGGCUAACUACGUGCCAGCAGCCGCGGUAAUUC
rnacentral:rRNA from 1 species